rnacentral:lncRNA from 1 species
GAGGCACGUUCGUUAAAGGCAAAACCCUAGCCCCCGAAUCCCUCAGUAUAUAAAGAAGCACUACUGUCUUUAAAAGAUCAACCCUAGCACCACUCAGCUAUGACUGAGCCGCCACCUUAUCACUCUCCGUUCAUUACAUAUAGGAUUCCAUCUAUCCCUAUUUGAAUUGAAUUGACUAUACUGCACUUGCUUGAAUCUUUCAUCUUUUGAAUGUUCCUAAAUGAUGAUGACUUGAAGUAAAGCUAUGGAUUUACAUCCAAAUGAAGCUUUUUUGUCAUAGUUACUCUGAUAGGAGCUAUUCCUUCAGUUACUGGCUGUUAGCUCUUGAUUAUUGUCUCCACUUCUCUUUGCACUAAUUCUUUUGUUAGCUACGGUAUAUUCUAAAUCUGUAUGCAUCAAUAAAUAAAAAAGGGGCAACUUUGCCGAGGUGAUCUAUUGUGUAGAUACUCCUCUUUUUCCCUGUUGCCAAUACUAAUUGGACAAGCUUAGAACAGCUUAGGUUGAUCCCUAUUUUUAGGUUUGCAUCAGCUGAUUCUAGCAUGCCUACAUCUAUAAACUAAAUUGUCAUAUUUAUAUGAAUAAAGAUUUCAUGUUUUGUGUUGCAAAAUAGGGCAACUUUGCCGAGGUGAUCUGAUUUUUGUUGAUUCCCUCUUUUCCCUGUUGCCAAUAAUUCAAUUAGACAAGCUGUGAUUUUGUUUUGGUUGAUGAAUACUUGUGGUAUAACACCAGCCACUUCAAGCUUGGCGAUAUUGUUAUGAAUUUGGUUUUUAUUUUAUUCUUGUUUUGUUUUAAAGCUCUUUAGGUGUAUGCAUUUGAUGAUUUGCUACGUGAUGAUUUUUUUUUUGAAUAAACAGAUUUUCUAUUUCAUUCCAUCAAAAAAACUGUUCAAAUACAGCCAUAGAUGCUGACCAUCUAUUCUCUAUUGCUAAUCAGUCC